AACGAACGCUGGCGGCAGGCCUAACACAUGCAAGUCGAGCGAGGACUUCGGAUCUAGUGGCGGACGGGUGAGUAACGCGUGGGAACGUGCCCUUUGGUUCGGAAUAGCCCUGGGAAACUGGGAGUAAUACCGGAUGUGGUCGAGAGACGAAAGAUUUAUCGCCAAAGGAUCGGCCCGCGUUGGAUUAGGUAGUUGGUGGGGUAAUGGCCUACCAAGCCGACGAUCCAUAGCUGGUUUGAGAGGAUGAUCAGCCACACUGGGACUGAGACACGGCCCAGACUCCUACGGGAGGCAGCAGUGGGGAAUCUUAGACAAUGGGGGAAACCCUGAUCUAGCCAUGCCGCGUGAGCGAUGAAGGCCUUAGGGUUGUAAAGCUCUUUCGUGGGGGAAGAUAAUGACUGUACCCCAAGAAGAAGCCCCGGCUAACUCCGUGCCAGCAGCCGCCGCAGUAA
rnacentral:rRNA from 1 species